GAUGAACGCUGGCGGCGUGCCUAAUACAUGCAAGUCGAGCGAACAGACGAGGCGCUUGCUCCUCUGACGUUAGCGGCGGACGGGUGAGUAACACGUGGAUAACCUACCUAUAAGACUGGGAUAACUUCGGGAAACCGGAGCUAAUACCGGAUAAUAUCUUGAACCGCAUGGUUCAAUAGUGAAAGACGGUUUUGCUGUCACUUAUAGAUGGAUCCGCGCCGCAUUAGCUAGUUGGUAAGUUAACGGCUUACCAAGGCAACGAUGCGUAGACGACCUGAGAGGGGGAUAGGCGACAUUGGAGCUGAGACACGGUCAAGACGCCUAAGGGAGGCAGCAGUAGGGAAUCGUACGCAAUGGGCGAAAGCAUGACGGAGCAACGCCGCGCGAGUGAUGAAGGUGUUCGGAUCGUAAAAAUCUGUUAUGAGGGAAGAACAAAUGUGUAAGUAACUAUGCACGGCGUGACGGUACCUAGUCAGAAAGCAACGGCUAACUACGUG
rnacentral:rRNA from 1 species